rnacentral:rRNA from 1 species
AACGAACGCUGGCGGCAUGCCUAACACAUGCAAGUCGAACGAGACCUUCGGGUCUAGUGGCGCACGGGUGCGUAACGCGUGGGAACCUGCCCUUAGGUUCGGAAUACCUCCCCGAAAGGGGUGCUAAUACCGGAUAAUGUCUUCGGACCAAAGAUUUAUCGCCUUGGGAUGGGCCCGCGUUGGAUUCGCUAGUUGGUAGGGUAAAAGCCUACCAAGGCGACGAUGCAUAGCUGGUGUGAGAGGAUGACCAGCCACACUGGGGAUGAGACACGGACCAGACUCCUACGGAAGGCAGCAGUGGGGAAUAUUGGACAAGGGGCGAAAGCCUGACACAGCAGUGUCGCGGAAGUGAUGAAGGCGGUAGGGUUGUAAAGCUCUUUUAGCCGGGAUGAUAAUGACAGUACCGGGAGAAUAAGCACCGGCUAACUCCGUG